rnacentral:lncRNA from 1 species
CACAUCUCACAAAACCAUCAGACCUUCUCUCUCUGGCGACUCAAGAAAACCAUGCCAGAUCUCUCACCAGAUCCGUUUCAUGACCAGAUCUGUGAGGAUUCCACCGCAUGUUCCCCUCCGCCUUGUUACGCUGCUUCAAUCGCGGCUUCUCCUUCAUUCCAGGGAUUUGCUGAUGUAAGUAACCAUUGAAUCAAGAUCAAUCAGUGAUGAGUGUACCAUUUGAUAGAAGGGUCGAAACUGAAUCACCUUUCAUGGUUCAAGGUUCGAGAAGAUUGGAGAAGAAGACAAGGACGGAUGCUUGCGUUUUAUCAUAUCGGAGCUGCAAGAAAACUUUGUUUCCAAUGUACUACGCUCUCAAUUUGGUUUGGAAUUGAGCAAGAGUACACUUUGCUUCAACCAGAUGUGAAGUGGCCUUUUGGUUGGCCUGUUACUGUUAGAGUGUCAAUAUAGUCAAAGUAAUUGUUAUUUAAGUUUUCUAUCUUUAGCGCAAAAAGAAACGGAGCAGCACGAGGCUGCUAAACAACAAGCUGAAUUCGUAACAAGCUCCAGCUAUCGGAAUAUGGUGUCAAAGAUGAACUAUUAUAUGUUUGCUGCAUUAAUAUUUUAUAAUGACCAAUAAGCCCAAACCUCAAACCAAACCGGAACCAAACAUUCAAUUGUUGGGUUCAGGGGCUCUGAUAUUGAAGCCUCACAUAAAUCAACAACGUCCUAAAGGAUGCAAACAUUCUUAUAUUUGUAAAUUAGAGGAUGAAAACCCAAUUAAUGGAUAUGUACGAUAGAGCACGGGUCGGAGCGGUUGUAGGCGGAACAUAUCCAGCAAUCGGAGUGGAUACAACCUGGUUAAGAAACAGAGCUCGAAGAUUCCAUGAGGUUGUUGCUGCUGUGGGGUGUAAGAGGAGGAAAGUCUUAUUUGGAGUGACCGGGAAUGACGGUGGUUCAGUUAUAUUUGACAACAUUUCAGCUAACAGAUCGGUCUCAUAUGAUCUUUGACAUGUGUCGGACAUAGAGAGAUUAACAGACCGAAUUCUCUUAGCUUCUGAUGGUGGUUUGCAGCAGCUCUCCCAAGAUGCAUUAGUUGGUAGCUUUGGGAAGGCUGGCACUCCUAAAUCUAUUUCGCCAACAAUUGGCGCUUCUCUUUUGCUUUAUUAGCCGAGUUCUCUUUGUUGUUUUGUAGAUUUGGUUUCCUAAAUGUCUGUAUAUGGAAUUAAUAGGUACAUGUUACACCUACCAAAAUGAAUUAGCUAUGGCUUCAUAUACUUGCUGAAUAGUCUUGGGGUGCAAUAUUU